rnacentral:rRNA from 1 species
UACGUAGGGGGCAAGCGUUGUCCGGAUUUAUUGGGCGUAAAGAGCGUGUAGGCGGCCAGGCAGGUCCGCUGUGAAAACUCGAGGCUCAACCUCGAGAGGUCGGUGGUAACCGUCUGGCUAGAGUCCGGAAGAGGAGAGUGGAAUUCCCGGUGUAGCGGUGAAAUGCGCAGAUAUCGGGAAGAACACCCGUGGCGAAGGCGGCUCUCUGGGACGGUACUGACGCUGAGACGCGAAAGCGUGGGGAGCAAACAGG